rnacentral:rRNA from 1 species
UGCUGCAUGGCUGUCGUCAGCUCGUGUCGUGAGAUGUUGGGUUAAGUCCCGCAACGAGCGCAACCCUUGUCUCUAGUUGCCAGGUAUUAAGUUAGGGACUCUAGAGAGACUGCCUCGGUUAACGGGGAGGAAGGUGGGGAUGACGUCAAGUCCUCAUGGCCUUUAUACCCAGGGCUACACACGUGCUACAAUGGGCUGCACAAAGGGUCGCCAGCUCGCGAGAGUGCGCUAAUCCCAAAAAGCAGUUCUCAGUUCGGAUUGGAGUCUGCAACUCGACUCCAUGAAGUUGGAAUCGCUAGUAAUCGUGGAUCAGCACGCCACGGUGAAUACGUUCCCGGGCCUU